GGGGGUUCGGGGGUCUAAGGACUCCCAACCAUUGUGAACGUACCCGUCCGAUGUUGCUUCGGCGGGCGGCCCCUCCCUGGGGCCGCUGCCUCCCUCACGGGGGGCGCCCGCCGGCAGUAAUCAAAACCCUUGUAUUUUAGUGGCCUCUCUGAGAAAACAAGCAAAUAAGUUAAAACUUUCAACAACGGAUCUCUUGGUUCUGGCAUCGAUGAAGAACGCAGCGAAAUGCGAUAAGUAAUGUGAAUUGCAGAAUUCAGUGAAUCAUCGAAUCUUUGAACGCACAUUGCGCCCGCUAGUAUUCUAGCGGGCAUGCCUGUUCGAGCGUCAUUUCAACCCUCAAGCCCUGCUUGGUGUUGGGGUCCUACGGCUGCCGUAGGCCCUGAAAACUAGUGGCGGGCUCGCUAUAACUCCGAGCGUAGUAGUAAAAUAUCUCGCUAGGGAGGUGUCGCGGGUUCCGGCCGUGAAAGCCCCAUCUUUUACACAAGGUUGACCUCGGAUCAGGUAGGAAUACCCGCUGAACUUAAGCAUAUCAAUAGGCCGGAGGAA
rnacentral:rRNA from 1 species